UCUUAUUGGCUGUGGAAAUAAACUGAUCUCUCCUAAACUGCUAGAUGGGCAACAACUGAAUGGCCAGCUGAUCCAGAAGGUCUUCAGAUCAAAGGCUCUUUAUGUCAAACCAUCACAAACUCUUCUUGAAGAUCCAGAGCUAAGGGAUGUGACUUCAUAUAAAGUAUCUCACCCAGCAACAACAGCUAUGACAAGAAAUAAACAACUCAACACAACAGAACAUGCCCCCCCCCCCAACAACACUGACUUGGGGAAUUUUGGUGAAGACUGCUACAACUGAAACUCAGUCGGCUACCACUAUCAGUACCAGCUCAUCUGCUACAGACUCUAAUCCCUCCCUUGAAAUCAUCACUGACAAUUUUUUGUCAGUGAUGUGAAGUGUUUCUGAUCUGUCCUCUGAUGACGAAGAAAUGAUUCAUGCCAUUUUGGCUAGUAUUGAGACUCACUUAUCUGCAACUUCUGGGGGCGUGCUUGGUAGCGCGACCCAUGUACAGAGGCCUUAGUCCUUGACGCGGUCAACUCAGGUUAGAAUCCGUGGUCCUUUGCUGCAUGUCUCUUCCUCUCUUCAACCCCCUUUCCUGUCAGCCUACUGUGGUAAAAGGUGAGCCACUAGAGCCAUGAACCCCCCAAAAAAAGAUCUGCAAAUUAUUCCAAAAGUUUGCCUGUGAAGGACAUACUUGAGGAGUUGUCCAGAAAUAUCAACACAGGAAUGCACUGCAAAUUCAAUCAGUCAUUCAGCAGUUUUAGAUGGAGACAUACGUGGAUUUAAGAGAAUGUCACACAAUCGACAUUACUCAAUCAAUGUGAAGUUUUCUUAUGAUUUUGGAAAAAUGAAGAGGCAGUUGAUUUGGGAGAGAAUUUUUACGUUUACUCAUUGAAGCCUUGUCCAUGUCUCGAAUGUUUGAUGGCCCUGAUGAAUGUAAACAUUUAGCUCUGAACAGUACAGGUUUCUUUUGGAUCGUCAUUUUCCAGUAGUUAUUGUCAAAAUGUCUACUUUUUUUAAUUAUAUUUUUACAAAAGAUAUUUUUGCAAUACAGUACUCAGGAAAGACAUGUACUUUAUGGCACUUUAGGGCAAUAGCUGUUAGCCUUGUGCAUGGAGGUCCAGCUCCAAGGUUCCUUUCUCCAGUUCUUUUUGCUGACUUGGUUGGAGUUCCAAAUGCAGUUUGCCCUACUCUAAAGGAUAUAACAAAUGCUGACCUUCAGGAAAAAUUGAAAAGGGUAGUAAUCCGCUCACUAAUUAAUUUACUUUUAACUGUAUAUACUAUAGAUGGAAAAUAUUGAUUGUUAAUAAUACUGUGUGAAAUCUUUCUAAUAUAUUUUUCAAAGUAAAAUAACAUUAUGUAGUCCCUAUUUGUUUUGUCAGUUUGCUUCUUGUGUAAAACUGUAUUAGGUAUCUGAAAGUUCUACCCCGGAGGAACUUCUGAGAGCCACAUAUUCUCUUUUAGACUGCAUGACCAGUGCAGGUUGUGUCAGACCCUUAAGAGCCACAAAUGAUUGAGAUCUUCUCCUACAUAAUAUGCUUAUGUUUCAUGUGGUUCACCGGGUCCAAGGCUCCUUUGAAAAGUUUAUUUUUUUCUAAUAUUUCUUUAAAUACAUGGUACACAAAUAUUUUGGCUCAGUUUAUUAGUAAGAGACUCAGAUUAAAGUCUGCUUAUUUAACUUUUUGCUGGUUUGCAGAAGGUCUAAAGACACUUGGAGUUUUGGAUGCUGUCAAACAACAUCCAAACAGUUUUCACUCUUUGUUCUGCCAUGAACCACAGCAAUUAACUGCUGACAUGAUGGAUGACCUUUUCACCCUCCGGCUUGCUUCCUUUCAUAAUUUUAGGUUCUGUUUUAGUUGAUUUUGUUUUAGGUUAUAA